GUCGCUGUAGCUUAAUGGAUAGAGCAGUCCCGUCCUAAGGGAAAGAUUGGGAGUUCAACUCUCCCCAGCGACACAA
rnacentral:tRNA from 1 species